CAGUCGCCGCGGGAACACGUAGGUGGCAAGCGUUGUCCGGAAUUAUUGGGCGUAAAGGGCUCGCAGGCGGUUUCUUAAGUCUGAUGUGAAAGCCCCCGGCUCAACCGGGGAGGGUCAUUGGAAACUGGGAAACUUGAGUGCAGAAGAGGAGAGUGGAAUUCCACGCGUAGCGGUGAAAUGCGUAGAGAUGUGGAGGAACACCAGUGGCGAAGGCGACUCUCUGGUCUGUAACUGACGCUGAGGAGCGAAAGCGUGGGGAGCGAACAGGAUUAGAUACCCCUGUAGUCCCUGUCUCUUAUAC
rnacentral:rRNA from 1 species